GACGAACGCUGGCGGCGUGCUUAACACAUGCAAGUCGAACGGAAAGGCCCUGCUUUUGUGGGGUGCUCGAGUGGCGAACGGGUGAGUAACACGUGAGUAACCUGCCCUUGACUUUGGGAUAACUUCAGGAAGCUGGGGCUACUACCGGAUAGGAGCUCCUGCUGCAUGGUGGGGGUUGGAAAGUUUCGGCGGUUGGGGAUGGACUCGCGGCUUAUCAGCUUGUUGGUGGGGUAGUGGCUUACCAAGGCUUUGACGGGUAGCCGGCCUGAGAGGGUGACCGGCCACAUUGGGACUGAGAGACGGCCCAGACGCCUACGGGAGGCAGCGGGGGGGAAUAUUGCACAAUGGGCGGAAGCGUGAUGCAGCAACGCCGCGUGCGGGAUGACGGCCUGCGGGGUGUGAACCGCUUUCGCCUGUGACGAAGCGUGAGUGACGGUAAUGGGUAAAGAAGCACCGGCUAACUACGUG
rnacentral:rRNA from 1 species